CACGUAGGGACCAAGCGUUGUCCGGAUUUAUUGGGCGUAAAGAGCUCGUAGGCGGUUCGGUAAGUCGGGUGUGAAAUCCCACGGCUCAACCGUGGAAGUGCACUCGAAACUGCGCAGCUAGAGUCCUGGAGAGGAAGGUGGAAUGCUUGGUGUAGAGGUGAAAUUCGUAGAUAUCAAGCGGAACACCGGUGGCGAAGGCGGCCUUCUGGACAGUGACUGACGCUGAGACGCGAAAGCGUGGGGAGCAAACAGG
rnacentral:rRNA from 1 species